GCCUGGUUAGCUGAGUUGGUAAAGCAUGUGACUUCUUAUCUUGGGGUUGUGAGUUCAAGUCCCACACUGGGUG
rnacentral:tRNA from 1 species